GGAAGGGCCAGCCGAUGGGCGACGGCGCCCCGCUCGAACCGGGGUGAGCUUCACAGCCUUGGGGGUUCGACUCCCUCUCCUUCCGC
rnacentral:tRNA from 1 species